rnacentral:rRNA from 1 species
ACGCGGGAAAUCUUACCGGGUCCGGACACACUGAGGAUUGACAGGCAAUAUAUGUGACUCUUCGGAGUUUGCAUUGUUAAAUAUGCUAGUCCUUUCAUGAUUAUGUGAUAGGUGGUGCAUGGCCGUUCUUAGUUCGUGGAGUGAUCUGUCUGCUUAAUUGCGUUUCAAAUUACUUAUAAGGUAGCAAUACGCGAUGAAGCUUUCAAUAGUCCUCACGGAUUCACUUGAGUCUCUCGCUUCGCUAUCCUUUCGAAUGCAACGAACGUGACCGCAACCUCUUGUUGCCUUCGUUUAACAUCCUGCAGCUCGCUGUGGGUACUGAGGGCUUCACUCGGUGACUUUGGGCUGAGCAAUCGGUCUCUUUUGAUCUGAGUAAACUAGAGGGACCGCUGUCAACUUCUUAAACCAGAGGAAGGUUGCGGCAAUAACAGGUCUGUGAUGCCCUUAGAUGUUCCGGGCUGCACACGUGCUACAAUGAUCGUAGCAGUGAGCAUCUUAUUUGAUUUACUUAACACCGCAUACGUGAGUACCAACUAGCUUAGCAAUAAGUCAAGUAGUUCUCUACGCAGCGGUAACAGCCUGCUUCGAGAGCAAGUGGGUAAUCAAUUAAAGUAACGAUUUCUU